UUAGAAAGCUUGAGCUUUCAUUGCUCAAAUAAUCUGAGUCUAACAUCGGUACAAAUAUAAAAGUCCCAUGCGUCUUUGGUCUAUAAAUGUCUAAAAAGCCUUGCACGGUCUGUUGUUUUGCAUUGGCAACAGACAUCACUCAUAACUAUCCAGCUGUGUGACUUUUGGCUCACCUGCCCAUUUCUGUCCGGAAGAGCAAUUUAUGAUCGUGAUGUG
rnacentral:lncRNA from 1 species